rnacentral:lncRNA from 1 species
ACUGAUUAAUCUUAUUUCGAAAGGACUUAGACACCAGAAGUUAAAAAGUCGGCAUGGACUGUGGAUCAGAUCUUUGCAGCACAAAUCAAUGCUGAGCGACCAAAUUCAGCCCCACCCAGAGCAUAUGGGCCCCCCAGAGGGCAGAUGGUAGCAGUCGGCUGGGAUUUGAAUCCUCCUGCUGUGUGACACCAGUCUCCAAAGGCAACAUCUGGGUCCGGUCACCGAAGACAGAUGGGCUCCCUCUACUUCGUCCCCCAUCCCCGCGGGACCUCUGCCGGAGGCGCGGCAUGCUAUUUGAAUGCAAUGAUAUGCUGACUAAAUCGUUCCUGCACGGUGCGCGCAGAGUGCAUUCCUACUGUUAGAACCUAUUCUGUAUCUG